rnacentral:lncRNA from 1 species
CUGCGCUCUCCAGCCUUUGCUAUCAACACCCUGUCGUCUCUUUUUAGUGUACCCACUGAGUGCGCAUUUUAAAAAAACAUUUCAACGGGACAUUUCUUCUCUUUUCUCUUUCAAUACAGUGUACAUCACAACACGGAGCGCUAGCCCAGCGUGGAUAACCUGCCUACAGCUUUGACGAGGGAGGUAGAGAAAAACGGCCGAGAGAGAACAUAAAUCUGCAGACUGGGAAACAGAAAAAGCAGAGCUGGCUACAAAGCCGGGGUAAUAGUAAAAAGAAAAAUGCCAGAAAACUUUCCACACCGUGAACUUCACAGGACAGAGAGGUGGGCCUGGGUGUGGGUUAUGUGCCUGUCACCGGGCUGGGGACAGAGGAGGCGGAUGAAGAAGACCCAGUGCCAGUCUUGGGGUGGCUCGGGGCCUGCUGAGCAGUGUCAAAGACAAUGUGACAAACAGGAACAAAUGAUUAAGAUACAGUUGACAGCUGCAAUCCAGAAUCCGAGAGGUACCAGGGAGAGGCAGUCCCAGCAGGCACUGGCAAUCGGAGUCUGAGAAGAAUGUGGGAACACUGGUGCCAGCCUUGUCCAAGCAAAACAGACGGUGAUGGCUCCAGCGGGUGAAGAACACAAGUGACAUCAGUGCAGCCUGGGGAUGGCCACGGCGGUGAUACUCCAAUGGCUGGUUCUGAGCAGAGAGUCUCUUACUGAAAUCUAGGCGCGCUGACUAAUCUUCACCAAGAAUAAACUGGGAAGAGCAUUAGUUAUAGAAAUAGAACAAUUGUCCUGAGCUUAAAAAAAAAUGUGCUCUGUAGAUGAGUCAAAUUCCCUAUCAUCUUUAAUGUGGGGGGAAGCAAGGUCCUGUGCAGAAUGUUUGCGACAGUCUUCAGAGAAAUGCAAGAGGAGGAAAUGUGAGCUUUCAGACUGCAGCCUAGUACCGAGUGGAACGGGGCCUCUUUCUGGGACCCGGACCAGGAAAGGGGUUUCUCCAAAAGCAGAGUUAGGAGAAGGUUUUAUGUAGCACUAAAUAAAAUGUCAUCUUUGCCAUUUCUUCUCUGAAAUUGUGAAUAGCUAAAUAGAUGUCUGCCCAUGCAAGUCCAGUCCAUGGAUUAUUCGAGCAAAACACUAAUCCGACACCUAUUUUAUGAAACUCAUGAUAGAGUUUGUGCUGAGGACUGACAGCUACCAGCCAUGGCGCUAAGCCGUAUCUCCAUCUCCAGCAUUUACAACGCCCCUGUCCUUUUAUAGAUAAGGAAAUUAGGAUUCAGCAAGGCAAAGAAUUUACCCAAGGCCACAAAUGGAUUUCCUCAAUUUCAAAAUGCCAUCGAUUGCAGGGCUUACCAUUGACCUCAUAACUGCUUUUCAGGGUUCAACAAAAAAGUACCCUCCAUUAAGUGUAAAGCUCUGCAGUAAGAUAAAUUUUGCUCGCAAAAACACUAAAGUUUGAUGGAGAAAAGGAUCAUCGGGAAUGCACAGUUUGACAGGUUGCAAGUUCAAGGUCUGUCUGGUACAAGACCAGGCUGUGCACCGCAGCCCUUUCGUUUCCGACUCUGUGCGUUAGGUGGCAAUGGUGGCAGGUGACAAUUGAGAAGACAUGUGUUCCUACUCCAUGGUGGCUGUUCUGUAGGAGCUGCUGUUAAGCCUGAUCACAGCGGUCACGGAUUCCCCAACGUCUCCACCCAUUUCUUAUUCUGCAAAUGACCUUACUUGUGACAGGCCCUGAGGGACAGUGGAGAGCAAACCGCCCAGUCUUGGGGUUUGCACCCAGCUGGGAGGAAGUGGGAAAAAGGUGCUAGGCAUUAUAAAAUAAUCACCCAGACCAAUAGGAGGUAGAACUAAAGCAUGUGACACCCAGGGGAGGUUCUCAGUGCUCCCAAGAUUCAGGGAGAUUGUGAACUGCUUUUCUGACCUGCGGCCUGAAAAGUGAGGAGGUUUUGCCUUCACUAGGAGAGGAAGAGUGUGCUUAGCAGAGGGCAGAGCACAUGCAAAGGCCCUGUGCUAGAAGGAGCAGGAAAGGUGCAAGGAAAUGAGAGCAAGCCAUUGUCCUCAGAGCGAAGGGAGUGGGGAGGCUGGCAAGGUGGUGGGAGUAUCAUGGAGGAUUUCAGAAGCCAGCAGGCCACUGUCCAAAGUAGCAGGCAGAACACAGAUUUUGCAGCCAGUCUCUUUGGGCUUAAGUCUGAUUCUACUUCUUCUGAGCUGUUACUUCACCUGUUUGUUCAUAUGAAACAUGAGGAUCUGCAGAAGGUCUACCUCCCUGUUUUCCAUAAUUUUUCAGUUUGUUCUUUACAUUACUUAACUUGAGUUUCUCAUGCAAGGGAAACCCAUGCAAUAUUUAACCUUCUGUGUCUGAUUUAUUUCACUUAGCAUUAUGGUCUCAAGGUGCAUCCAUUUUCCUACAGACAACUCUACUUUAUUCUUCCUUGUAGCUGAGUAGUGAUCCAUCGUGCGUGCAUACACACUUUUGAAAUGGCAAAGUCGCUAACUGCCUAUCAAUACUGCAGAGGACAGUGACUAAGACACCAGCGGACACACUGCACAUGGGCUCAUUUUCCAUGCUCACGCAUUCCUGGGUGCACCUCUUCACCAAGGGAAGAGCGAACAGCCCAGAAAACAGUGGCAGCGAUCUGAUGCAGUCUGAAGGAGGAGAAGCCGUGUUAUUUGCUCUGGACGCAGAACAGUUUGAUUUACACUCACAGAGUAGUGUUUAAUCCAGCACCUGUACCCAACAGGCAAUCCCAUGGCAUCUGACAAAUCCCGCUCUUCAACCUUUAGAAUCCCCUGCUUUGGUAGUUGGUUAGCAUUGCUUUGGUGAUACUGAUUAAAGCUAUCACGUGUCUUAUGGUAUUUCUGAAAUGUCUUUGUUAAGUGAAGCACGCUCUAUUCCAAUAAGUUAAACGUGAAAGGGUAUUUUCUAAAAUAGUAGUUCCUACUUUAUAAGGCUUUCCACAAUCUAAAUAACCUCAAGUCCCAUGGCCCAACAUUCCUUUCCUUUCUUCUUUUUCUAUUCGAGGGAAUAAGAAAUAAAAAGAGGAAGGAGAAACAAAAGGAGCCAGAUCAAAACGACAAAAGGAGCCCUUUCUACCGAGGGAUAACCGUCGUGUCAUAACAGGAACAGCUGUGAUACAGUCAUCAUCGAGCUGCGUAGAACUUAUGUUGAGUCACUUUACAUAUGCUUCUCACUUAGUCCUCACAAGCUAAUGGGAGAAGUCUGACUAGCCCGAUGCUUUGCGGCUCAAGCAGCUGCAUGUUAGCAGGUCAAGCUCACCAAGGCGGGAAGCCUUCGAGCUAGGAUUCUUGAGUCAAAUAUUUUCAGUGAGUGUGACUGCUGUUGUUUCCCAGCUUGGCUUGCUGUCAUUUGAAUACCAGCGAACACCUCGACUCAGUAGUAAUUUAUGCGCAGGAUGCAUUUGUUAAGUGUGUAUCCAAUCCAGGUAGAAAUACAAGGGUGAAAAUUGUCCACUCAGCCCCUGCAAAAGUCCAGGCAAGUCGCCGGCUAAUUCUUUUCCUGAGUAAUUGUUUGCAAAGAAGCAAAGAGUGAAUGGCCUGGACGCCUUCCUUCAGUUCAUCCCCGCAUUGAAAGGAUGCCACUGAGGACUUACCCAGAGCCAGGGUCUGUGCUGGUCAGUGGGAGCCAGGGUAAGAACACAGUUCCUUCUCUUAGGGGUGUUCAAUGGCCUC